rnacentral:lncRNA from 1 species
GCUUUGUUCAAUUCUAUCACCACCUUUAUUCAUCAUUUCAGAUUGGAGAUCAAGGAGCAUUUGUUGUGCUCUUUCGUAGGCCUUGAGAUGGGAAUCUACACCUCUAGGUCCAUCUAUCACUGCUGGUUUAACUCUCCUAAGUGUCUCUUUCGCUUCGCCAACUCUCCCUUGUUUCAUCAAACAAAUGCCCAAAUUGCACAUCUUGCUCGAGAUCACGGAGCAUUUGUUGUGCUCUUUCGUAGGCCUUGAGAUGGGAAUCUACACCUCUAGGGCCAUCUAUAACUGCUGGUUUAACUCUCCGAAGUGUCUCUUUCGCUUCGCCAACUCUCCCUUGUUUCAUCAAACAAAUGCCCAAAUUGCACAUCUUGUUAUUGUCUGGUACAAUUACUAGU